rnacentral:rRNA from 1 species
GAUGAACGCUGGCGGCGUGCUUAACACAUGCGAGUCGAACGAAGCAUUUAGGGCAGAUUACUUCGGUUUGAAGUUCUUUAUGACUGAGUGGCGGACGGGUGAGUAACGCGUGGGUAACCUGCCUUGUACUGGGGGAUAGCAGCUGGAAACGGCUGGUAAUACCGCAUAAGCGCACAAUGUUGCAUGACAUGGUGUGAAAAACUCCGGUGGUAUAAGAUGGACCCGCGUCUGAUUAGCUAGUUGGUGAGAUAACAGCCCACCAAGGCGACGAUCAGUAGCCGACCUGAGAGGGUGACCGGCCACAUUGGGACUGAGACACGGCCCAGACUCCUACGGGAGGCAGCAGUGGGGAAUAUUGCACAAUGGAGGAAACUCUGAUGCAGCGACGCCGCGUGAGUGAAGAAGUAAUUCGUUAUGUAAAGCUCUAUCAGCAGGGAAGAUAGUGACGGUACCUGACUAAGAAGCUCCGGCUAAAUACGUG